rnacentral:rRNA from 1 species
CGGACGGGUGAGUAAUGUAUAGGAACUUGCCUAGUAGUGGGGGAUAACGUGUGGAAACGCACGCUAAUACCGCAUACGCUCUACGGAGGAAAGCGGGGGAUCUUCGGACCUCGUGCUACUAGAUGGGCCUAUAUUGGAUUAGCUAGUUGGUAGGGUAAAGGCCUACCAAGGCGACGAUCCAUAGCUGGUUUGAGAGAAUGAUCAGCCACACUGGGACUGAGACACGGCCCAG